GUCAUUUCGGUAAUAUACACAUUAAGAUUGGAGCCAUACAGAGAAGAAUAAUCUUGUCUCCUCUUCAAGAAUGGCACUCAAAUCUGUGAAUAUUUCUUUUUUUGU
rnacentral:sRNA from 1 species